CUUUUUCUGUAUGUAUGUAUAUAAAUAUUAUAUGUACAUUUGUAUAUAUAGUGUUCGUCAUGAAAUGAGUUGCCAGCUUGACACGCAAAAAUUGAAUUCCAAGUAUUGUCAUGAAUUUCAAAUACAGAACUAAAGUAUAAGCUUAAUCUUUGACAAUAGCUCUGAUGGAAAUGGGAAACACCGAGAAAACUUAGUGCUUCAAUUUGUUGAGCUCCUCAACAAUUAAGCUACCAAGGGUGGCAGGAGAGCGAGAAAUGCGAACGCCGGCAGCUUCUAAAGCUUCAAAUUUAGCAGCAGCAGUCCCCUUCCCACCAGCAACAAUGGCACCAGCAUGACCCAUUCUACGGCCUUUGGGAGCCGUAGCACCAGCAAUGAAAGAUACCACGGGUUUAGGUGUAGAUCUCGAAGCAUUUGCAGCCCGUAUAAAUUCAGCGGCAUCCUCUUCAGCACUACCACCAAUCUCACCAAUGAGGAUAAUUCCUUGUGUGUUAGGAUCAUCCAAGAAUAGUUUUAAAGCAUCAAUAAAGUUUGUUCCAGGGAAUGGAUCACCACCGAUACCGAUAACUAAACUUUGACCAAGGUCGGUUUGAGUAGUCUGGUUAACAGCUUCAUAUGUUAAAGUUCCACUUCGUGAAACAAUACCUAUACAGCCUGGUUUAUGAAUGUGCGAAGGCAUGAUACCAAUCUUGCAUUGACCAGGUCGAAUGAUACCAGGACAAUUAGGGCCUACCAGACGACUCUUAGAUUGUGUCUUUAGGAUGUCUGAUACACGUAACAUAUCGUGUUGAGGAAUUCCUUCAGUAAUCGCGACAAUUAGAGGGACUUCAGCAGCAAUGGCCUCUUCAAUUGCACCAGCAGCAAGGGGAGGUGGUACGAAAACGGCAGAAGCGUCAGCCUUCGUCUCCUUCAUUGCUUCUUCAAUCGUCCCAAAUACAGGUUUUCCUAAAUGCGUUGUGCCAGCUUUUUUGGGAUUGGUACCGCCAACCACCUUCGUGCCAUAGUCCAUGGCAUGUUGAGCAUGAAACGUACCUUGUUUCCCGGUAAAUCCUUGAAAAAUUACUUUGGUGUCAGAAUUAAUCAUUAAAUUUGGAAUUGUCUGUUCAUAAAGGCUCUUGGAGUUUUUCAACUGAGAAGACGAUGAAAAACGACGUAAACUCGUUAACAAAGUUGUCUGUGUCUUGAACAUCUUUGAAUGUAUGGAAUUAACAAAUUAAAAUAUAUUUACUUAAAAUAACUCCUAAAAGGAUACCUUCAAUCCCAAUAGUAGGUAAUAUGGGAGUUGCCUUAACUUUACUACUGGAGAUUCGUGGGUAAGUUCGUAUUGGAAGUGUUGAAAUAUCAAGUCCAAAAUAUUAGUCGAAGUAUACUAGUACUUUAUAUAGAUAAAUUGAAUAGUGAAUUUAUAAACACUUUUUUUUGUUCUCAUAACUUUUAUUUCGUUAUGAGAGAAAGGACGAAGAUUACUUGACAAACUGAUUUUAAAUAAAGAUAAAUAUUGAAGGAAUGAAUCUUCCUAAGGCAUAGAAAA